UACGGAAGGCAGCAGUGGGGAAUAUUGCACAAUGGGCGCAAGCCUGAUGCAGCCAUGCCGCGUGUAUGAAGAAGGCCUUCGGGUUGUAAAGUACUUUUCAGUCGUGAGGAAGGUGUUAAGGUUAAUAACCUUAGCAAUUGACGUUAGCGACAGAAGAAGCACCGGCUAACUCCGUGCCAGCAGCCGCGGUAAUACGGAGGGUGCGAGCGUUAAUCGGAAUUACUGGGCGUAAAGGGCACGCAGGCGGUUAAUUAAGUUGGAUGUGAAAUCCCCGGGCUUAACCUGGGAAUGGCAUUCAAGACUGGUUAGCUAGAGUCUUGUAGAGGGGGUAGAAUUCCAUGUGUAGCGGUGAAAUGCGUAGAGAUGUGGAGGAAUACCGGUGGCGAAGGCGGCCCCUGGACAAAGACUGACGCUCAUGUGCGAAAGCGUGGGGAGCGAAAC
rnacentral:rRNA from 1 species